CGGUGGUCGGUUACUGGUUUCCACACAAGCCAAGCCCUUGAUCUGCCGUGUUUGAGGAAACCCUUUGUUCCUUUCAAGUCUCUAUUCUCUGAGCCAGGCUGGUGCACAGACCCAGGCAGUGAGUUUUCUCUUUCUUCCUUUUCUUUUUGGAUUUUUAAAAAUAACUGGUUUGUGCGUUCAGGCCGUGUUCCAGAAUUGGGUUCCCAGGCUGGGGUUCAGGGCCAGGGACUCCAGCAGCCACUUACUCCUGGGAAGGCCUGGGAGGAGGGAAAGCUGAAAGGCUGGGGGUGGGGGAAGACAUUAAACCUGUGCCCGAGAGAGGGACUCAGGCUCAGGAGCCAGUGCUGGGAGGGGAGGCUGGAGAGCAGAGACACAGACAGCAGAGGGUUCUGAUCCUGGCUACAGCACCCCCAGGCUGGCCACCCUGGGGUUCUCCCCUCCCGCUCUGGACCUCAGCUUAGUUAAGUCAGAUCAGAGACCGGAGCAGAUGCCUACCUCUCGGCAUUGCUGGGCCCAUGCCAGACAUUGCUAAUCGAUCGCCCUCCCACACAGAGCUUGGAUGAGCCCAGAGAAUCCUUCUCAGCACAGCCUCUGGGUGUUUACUACCGACUGGACUUGCCGUACAAAACGAGACCUACCUCCCAUCCUCAGACAAGCCAACGCGAAGAAAUGGAGCUGAAAAUAGAAACUGUCAAAACAACAAGCCAUUCCAGCUCUAAGCGCCAUAGUAAACAAAUGGUCCAGUGUUGCUCUGAUGGUUUAAUUGCAGCAGUUCCAGACAAGCCCAUUCACGAAGGAUCUUCAGUUGACGGGAAGGAGGAGUGAGCCCCCCUCCGGGGAAGGGGCGGCUUGUGGCUAGCCCUUGGGGGAAGUCUUUACCAGGUGAGGCUGAUGCUCUGGGGAGCCGGCUGGAUUUCAGCAGCCAAAGCCCUAGCUGGCUGGAUCAGACUCUCUUUGCCUUCGGACAUCAAGAUGGUGGAUAUUUGAACUGGAAGGAUAAAGAAAGGCCUCUCUGAGGAGGUGGCAUUGGAGCUGGACCUGAAGAUGAAGAAGAUGACAGCUUCACAGACAGCCAGGGGAAGCGAGUCCCAGGCAGGGGGAACAGAAGAUUCAAAGGUCCUGAGUCAAUAGAAUCCAUAAUUUUCAGUUCGGCAUAUGGCAGCCUGGAAUGAGGAUUACGGUUCCCAGCUUCCCUUCCACAUCCUCAGUAUGGCCAUGGGGAAUUUGAGAUGUGAUGACUGGAUCUCAAGCAGCCAUCUUGGACCGUGUGGUGAAUUAAAGAUAGCUGCUGAUUCUUUGGCUGUCCUUCCUUCGAGAGGAAGAGGCUAUUUGGGAAUCUGAAUUUGGGCUGGCCUGUGACUUCUCGGGUCAACAGAGUAUAGCGGAAAUGAUACUCUGCCAAUUCAAGGCCCAGCCCUUAAGAGCACUGGUAGCUUCUGCCGUGGCCUCUUGGAUUCAUGAGCUGCCAUGGAAAAAUGUCAAACCACUCUGCUGGAGAGACCACCUGGAGAGGCCCUGAGACCACAUGGAAAGGGGGAGGAACCCAGCUAGCUCAGCAUUUCAGGUUUCCCCACCAAAGCCCCAGGAAUCCUGGUAAAACCAUCUUGACCCUCCAGACGAGCCCAACCAUCAACUGAAUACGACCAAGUGACUGGCUGAUGCCCAUGGAUCAGAAGGAUCACCCAGCUGAGCCCUGCCCAAAUUUCUGACCCACAAAACUGUAGAAAAUAAUGAAAUGGUGUUUUGGGGUAGUUUGUUAAGCAGCAAUAAAUAACCCGGACAGACCAUAAAGCAGAAGCUGUUUGCUGAGUAUGGUGCAACAGCUACACCAGCCCUGGUCUGGCCAGCUCCAGAUUUCGUAUUACCCAAGAAAAGGAAACCCUGUG